rnacentral:rRNA from 1 species
GAUGAACGCUAGCGGGAGGCCUAACACAUGCAAGCCGAGCGGUAGAGUUUCUUCGGAAACUUGAGAGCGGCGCACGGGUGCGUAACACGUGUGCAACCUACCUUUAUCUGGGGGAUAGCCUUUCGAAAGGAAGAUUAAUACCCCAUAAUAUAAUGAUUGGCAUCAAUUAUUAUUGAAAACUCCGGUGGAUAGAGAUGGGCACGCGCAAGAUUAGAUAGUUGGUGAGGUAACGGCUCACCAAGUCAAUGAUCUUUAGGGGUCCUGAGAGGGAGAUCCCCCACACUGGUACUGAGACACGGACCAGACUCCUACGGGAGGCAGCAGUGAGGAAUAUUGGACAAUGGGUGAGAGCCUGAUCCAGCCAUCCCGCGUGAAGGAUGACGGUCCUAUGGAUUGUAAACUUCUUUUGUACAGGGAUAAACCUACCCUCGUGAGGGUAGCUGAAGGUACUGUAAGAAUAAGCACCGGCUAACUCCGUG